ACGACCAUUAGCUGGCCACCUGUGCUACGUCAACGCGACGGGACCGUCGGUCAGGAUUUUCUGCCUAGAGACAACCACGAACUAAUCAGAGCCGGCGAGCGACAGAGACAGACGGGACCUGGUAAACAACAUAGGGAUGAUGAGGUGUGUAUGAAUUUGGUGUCUUUCAAGAAGAAAGAAGAGAGGAGUGUAAAAAAUGCCUGCUAUUUGACUCUUCUCCUUUUACUGUUGUCACUAAAGUUUACUUGGAGUUGUGGGCCCCCUGAAUAGAUAUAAACUACAUUAGCUGUGAUUUGCUGAGCACGUGAGUGGCAUCAUGGGAGGUGAGCAGAGCCAUGAGAGGAAGACAGAGAUGCCUCAGGAGGAGGGAGGAGAGGAAGAAUCUCAUAACCAGCACCAGGAGUCUUCUCCUAUCUGCUGUUCACAGUCAGCUGUUUGUCAAGAGACCCCAGGAGAGCUACCCCAGCGGCAGAUGGGGAACAGGAAGGUGGAUGACAUGGGUUUCAUGAUCUCCUGCACCAACUGGUACUGAACUGAACUUGUGAGACAACGUGAAAAAAACCCCCCAAAAACUGAGAUGCCUGCUGCUCAUUAGAGUCAUUUUAAGGCUGUUCUUGAAAAAGCCAUUGGGUAAUUUGUUGGGAGCCAUUAAUUGCAGACCACUGUCAGGGCUCAGUUGUUGGAUAUCCCCUGAAACCAUUUUACCAGAAACUUCCAUUACAUUCAAGCAAUUCCAAAACUGAUAAAAUAGAAUGUAUUGUAAACAAAAAAUGCAUCUCUCUUCUGGAUGAGUUUCAUUUGCCUUAACAAUACACCAGAUUCACUGCUGAUAGAUUUUCUGCUCUCACGGCAAAUAAGAAAUUCUGUUUUCAAAUGCACUGCUGAAUAUUGGAUAUAUGCUCCAUAAAUAUAUGUGUAAUGUGCUGUGGUUAAGCUUGUUAUAUCAGAGAUAUCAUGAUAAAGAAGGCUUAUUGCUUUCACUGUUUGGUGUCAAGUUAAAUUUAACUGAUAGCAGUACAAAAUGGGCACUUGAAAAUGGUUUCAGGGGAGAUUCAAGUAAACGUAAAUAAUAGCAGAUAUUGAGAUGAAACAAUGAGCAUAUAGAAGUCAUGUGGAACACCUAGACCCUCUGCUCUCCAUGAAACAUACCAACCAGCCUUGUCACAAGCAAGAUAUGAAUUGUGUAAAAACAAGUGCAAGUCAGAAUUUGGAGGGUGUUUCAUACACUUAGUGUAAGUGUGUAUUCUUCACAUUGUUAAUUGUUGUGAAUAUCCUAGCUGUGGACAUUAUAAGACCAAACGUGUAUAGCACAAGCACACGUGUGAAAUGCUAAAAAUGCUGGAUGCUAACAUGCCCAGAAGGUGGUGGGGUUUCAACAACAAACCAAGAGGUUGUGAGUCUCAACUGAUGAGAAAUCAAUCUUUUCAACUGUCAUGACUAAAAUGAAGGCAUGUUUGUCUUUUUAAUGUGUGCCUCAUUACAUAUCAGGAUUGAUGAUAAUGUCAGAGUGAUAAAAAAAAUCUAAAUUUUUAUUUUUAUUUAUAAUUUCAUUUCCUUCGAUGUAUUUGUAAACCCAUGUUGUCCCAUUUAUUUUAACAUUCCCUUAACUCAAAAACAAAACAAAGUUGACCCUAUUACCCAUUGGCACCGAAUCAAAGCUGUGUAAAUAAUUCAGUUAUUGUGAUCUAAAAAAAAAAGUGAUGAAAGAAAUAAUUUUGAAUCUUUCAUACGUGGGAAAUAACAAAAAAAACUAUCUUACAACCGACAUAAUUCAGGAAAUCUUAUCAUAAAGUGUUUAACUAUUUUUUGGUUUGCUCCCAUAAUAAUGAGUGGGGCCACCUCUGCUCUAAAAAUCCUAGAAUUUGCCUCAAAAAUCCCUUAAAAAUCGCUUAAAGUGGCAUAGACUUACUUUCAUUUUUAGGCCCUGGCCUACUGUUGUUCAAAAUGUGCUUUAGGAAAUGCUUAGUGAUGUAGCUGUAACCCAAAGUCUGUUUUUACACUCCUGUUAAAAGCACUGAAGUAGCCGAAAUGUUAUGUUACAAUAGACAACAGAAGGCUACUGUCCUUCAGUCAGUUAAAUCCUCUGUUUCUUUAAAUGAUAUUUAUUUAAUAUGUGUACACAUGUCAAUUAGCUGGUCCAAACCUUUGCUUGAAGUGAUUGGUUGGUGUAUAUUGAUCAUGUCAGCCUGGACAGAUGUGAUCACUCUAAACAGUUUCCACUGUACCACGUACUUCACACAAAGACAUCAAUGGCUAAGCCUCAGACCCAACCAUGUUUUUGUUAUUUGGAAGAUGCCUCUCUUUCAUUAUGAACGGCUCUCUGGGAUUUGAAGUUUUGAAGACCAUUGUUGUUCAUAUUGUACAUAAACAAUA